CGCCCCUCACCCAGGUCCCACCUCUCCAAGGCUCCGCCCCUCUCCCAGGGCCCACCUCUCCAAGGCUCCAUUCCUCUCCCAGGUCCCACCUCUCCAAGGCUCCAUUCCUCUCCCAGGUCGCACCUCUCCAAGGCCCUGCCUACCUCUCCAAGGUCCCACCCACCUAUGAAUAGGCCACAUUCCUGUCCUGGGACCACCUGUCCAAGGCUCUGCCCCUCACCCAAGUCUGACCUCUCCAAGCCCCAUCCACCUAUGCACAGGCCACACCCUCAUCCUAGGACCGUUUCUCCACAAGACCCACUCCUUCCCCACCAGGUCCCACCUCUC
rnacentral:lncRNA from 1 species